rnacentral:rRNA from 1 species
UGGGGAAUUUUGGACAAUGGGCGAAAGCCUGAUCCAGCCAUGCCGCGUGCAGGAUGAAGGCCUUCGGGUUGUAAACUGCUUGUGUACGGAACGAAAAGACUCUGGUUAAUACCUGGGGUCCAUGACGGUACCGUAAGAAUAAGCACCGGCUAACUACGUGCCAGCAGCCGCGGUAAUACGUAGGGUGCAAGCGUUAAUCGGAAUUACUGGGCGUAAAGCGUGCGCAGGCGGUUAUAUAAGACAGAUGUGAAAUCCCCGGGCUCAACCUGGGGAAACUGCAUUUGUGACUGUAUAGCUAGAGUACGGCAGAGGGGGGAUGGAAUUCCGCGUGUAGCAGUGAAAUGCGUAGAU